UUGCAGCAGAGUGGAUUGAAACUACAGGUCAUAUCUCUCUGAAGUGCAGUGGAGUAGAUCGAAGCGAUAAGACGCAGUGGACUGGAAUGACUACCUGAAGAAGAAAAACAUUAGAAGAAGUCAAGACUCGGCGAGACCGGACAAAAUUGGCAUUUCUUAGUCUUUGCUCUGUUCUUAUUACACGACAACGAGCAAAGAGGGGCAGCUGUACAGCCCAAUUUAUGCUCGGGCCCAACAAGCAGAGGCAAAGCAAAAAAAACAAACAAUAAACACAAAUAACG
rnacentral:lncRNA from 1 species